rnacentral:rRNA from 1 species
UGGGGAAUUUUGGACAAUGGGGGAAACCCUGAUCCAGCCAUCCCGCGUGUGCGAUGAAGGCCUUCGGGUUGUAAAGCACUUUUGGCAGGAAAGAAACGUCGCGGGUUAAUACCCCGCGAAACUGACGGUACCUGCAGAAUAAGCACCGGCUAACUACGUGCCAGCAGCCGUGGUAAUACGUAGGGUGCAAGCGUUAAUCGGAAUUACUGGGCGUAAAGCGUGCGCAGGCGGUUCGGAAAGAAAGAUGUGAAAUCCCAGAGCUUAACUUUGGAACUGCAUUUUUAACUACCGGGCUAGAGUGUGUCAGAGGGAGGUGGAAUUCCGCGUGUAGCAGUGAAAUGCGUAGAUAUGCGGAGGAACACCGAUGGCGAAGGCAGCCUCCUGGGAUAACACUGACGCUCAUGCACGAAAGCGUGGGGAGCAAACAGGAUUAGAUACCCUGGUAGUCCACGCCCUAAACGAUGUCAACUAGCUGUUGGGGCCUUCGGGCCUUGGUAGCGCAGCUAACGCGUGAAGUUGACCGCCUGGGGAGUACGGUCGCAAGAUUAAAACUCAAAUGAAUUGAC